UCUUGUUUUUUCCCUCAUUCCGCUCCUUUUGUGGGUGCGCAAAAAGGCAACCAGGUUCAAUGAACCUGGGAAGUUCUAUGUUGUUUAUCGUCAUCAUCUUUCUUCAUCACCCACCAAUUGGGCUAAGAAGAGAUAUGUAUAUGCAUAUGUUUCAAUGACUUGUCGGGCGACUCAUCUCUUCGUUAGCAUUAUCAUGAGAUCAAGCUUAAAGAUCCGGAGUCAAACAUUUUCUCCUGAGUGAUCACUACAAAUAUGCUCGAAAUGGUUGAUCGAUCUGAAUAUGCGACAAACUAAGUCAAUAUGGAACUAACUAUAUAUACAUAGUAGUAUAGUACUACAUCGAGAGAUAUUCAAGUAUGACACAAACAUAUGAGUCGUGUUCAUCACUUGAAGCAUGAAAAAAAUAAGAGUUCCCCUUUCAAAAACUUCAAUCUCUUUCGUAAGAGAAAGUAAAAAUAAAAAUUAUAUGUACUGGUUGUCUUGUACUUCAUUUUCAUCAUUUUUAUAUUUUGCAUGGACAAAGUAAGAUUAGAAAUUGGUUGUAAUCUUGUUCUUAAGCUGGGCCUCUUGCUGACGCAUAUAUUGGUCUGAUUAUAUGUCCUUUAUAUAGCCAAAGAAUAAUAAAAUGAAAAUAAUGUUAUUAUGA